rnacentral:rRNA from 1 species
UUGGGGAAAUCCGGCGAUCGCGGUGAGUAACGCGUGGUAGAAUCUUGCCCUGUACAUCCGGGAUAACCGUGGGCAACCGUGGCUAAUACCGGAUGUUUUCACCCUUGAUCGCAUGAUCGCGGGUGGGAAAGUUACAGGCGGUACAGGAGGGCCACGCGGCGUAUCAGCUAGUUGGCGGGGUAAUGGCCCAGACAAGGAUACGACGCGUAGCUGGAGCGAGAGCUCGAUCAGCCACACUGGGACUGAGACACGGCCCAGAAUCUUACGGGAGGCAGCAGUGGAGAAUCUUGCGCAAUGGGCGAAAGCGCUGACGCAGCCACGCCGCGUGCGGGAAGAAGGCCUUCGGGUCGUAAACCGCUUCAGGAGGGAAGAAGCGAAAGUGACGGACCUCCAGAAGAACGUCCC